CUGAGAGCAGAACAGAACAGAAUCUUCAUCAUCACACAAGACAAAACAACAACAAUGAACAACAUCAUCAUCCUCAUCUGGACACUCACACUGUUUGCUCAAGAGUGUAGAGGACAGUACACUGUUACUCAGAGUCCAUCAAUAUCAGCAGCUCAAGGACAAGAAGUCAGAAUAAACUGUAAAGUCAGCAGUGGAGUGUAUGGUGGUAGUUACUUACACUGGUACUUACAGAAACCUGGAGAAACUCCUAAACUGCUAAUAUAUAUUACAAACAGACUGCAGUCAGGAACUCCAUCUAGAUUCAGUGGCAGUGGAUCUGGCAGUGAUUUCACUCUGACCAUCAGUGGAGUCCAGACUGAAGAUACAGGAGAUUAUUACUGUCAGAGUUUACACAACCCGAGCAGCACUUGGGUGUUCACACAGUGAUAAAGAGUCGUACAAAAACCUCCAUCAGUCAGAGUCACAGUGACUGCACUGAUACAGAUGAGAGAAACUGCAGCUGCUGAUGGGUGUGAAUCAACUCAAUCACUCUUGUCUGUAGAUCACUAUAUUACAAUGCAGAACACUAUCUAAUAAUAAAUUCAGUCUGUACUGGUUAGGUUAAUCACUAUAAUGAAUGAACAAAAAAGGCU